GUGAAUCAUCGAAUUUUUGAACGCAAAUUGCACUCUCCUCUGAGAGUAUGCCUGUUUGUGGGUCAGCCUAUAAAAAAUCGACAUCGUUGCUGUUUCUCGGUGACGCUCUUCGUAAAUUUGUUCAUCUUUAUUCCUUUUGGUUUUAAGCUACUUAGAAAUUUUUUUUUGGUUCCAUGAGCGUUUCUAAUAUUUAUUUUUUUACACGUUUAUGUUAUCUAUUUUUACUAGACGUUACCAUCAUAUCUGAUCGUGUCCA
rnacentral:misc_RNA from 1 species